CGUGGGUAACCUGCCCAUAAGACUGGGAUAACUCCGGGAAACCGGGGCUAAUACCGGAUAACAUUUUGAACCGCAUGGUUCGAAAUUGAAAGGCGGCUUCGGCUGUCACUUAUGGAUGGACCCGCGUCGCAUUAGCUAGUUGGUGAGGUAACGGCUCACCAAGGCAACGAUGCGUAGCCGACCUGAGAGGGUGAUCGGCCACACUGGGACUGAGACACGGCCCAGACUCCUACGGGAGGCAGCAGUAGGGAAUCUUCCGCAAUGGACGAAAGUCUGACGGAGCAACGCCGCGUGAGUGAUGAAGGCUUUCGGGUCGUAAAACUCUGUUGUUAGGGAAGAACAAGUGCUAGUUGAAUAAGCUGGCACCUUGACGGUACCUAACCAGAAAGCCACGGCUAACUACGUGCCAGCAGCCGCGGUAAUACGUAGGUGGCAAGCGUUAUCCGGAAUUAUUGGGCGUAAAGCGCGCGCAGGUGGUUUCUUAAGUCUGAUGUGAAAGCCCACGGCUCAACCGUGGAGGGUCAUUGGAAACUGGGAGACUUGAGUGCAGAAGAGGAAAGUGGAAUUCCAUGUGUAGCGGUGAAAUGCGUAGAGAUAUGGAGGAACACCAGUGGCGAAGGCGACUUUCUGGUCUGUAACUGACACUGAGGCGCGAAAGCGUGGGGAGCAACAGGAUUAGAUACCCUGGUAGUCCACGCCG
rnacentral:rRNA from 1 species